rnacentral:rRNA from 1 species
GACUAACGCUGGCGGCGUGCUUAACACAUGCAAGUCGAACGGAAAGGCCCUGCUUUUGUGGGGUGCUCGAGUGGCGAACGGGUGAGUAACACGUGAGUAACCUGCCCUUGACUUUGGGAUAACUUCAGGAAACUGGGGCUAAUACCGGAUAGGAGCUCCUGCUGCUUGGUGGGGGUUGGAAAGUUUCGGCGGUUGGGGAUGGACUCGCGGCUUAUCAGCUUGUUGGUGGGGUAGUGGCUUACCAAGGCUUUGACGGGUAGCCGGCCUGAGAGGGUGACCGGCCACAUUGGGACUGAGAUACGGCCCAGACUCCUACGGGAGGCAGCAGUGGGGAAUAUUGCACAAUGGGCGGAAGCCUGAUGCAGCAACGCCGCGUGCGGGAUGACGGCCUUCGGGUUGUAAACCGCUUUCGCCUGUGACGAAGCGUGAGUGACGGUAAUGGGUAAAGAAGCACCGGCUAACUACGUG